UUUUUGCGCAGCGCCCUCAUUCUGCCAACAAAUAGCAGAGGAGCACCACCCACCGGGCUACCGGUGAUUGGCCAAGCCGGCCGUCAAACAGAACGUCACGCGGCAGCCGGGAGGGGCGGGACAGAACUCUCGCCCGGGCGGCCGGGGUGAGUGUGAGUGUGAGAGCGAGAACAGCCCCGCAGGUCCCGAGGCGCUGACUGGGGACACUGCCGCGGAAAGUUCCCAGUCCCCAGUCGCAGAUCUGCAGGAAAUGAAAUGUUUUGAGGUCUUCAAGCUGACUCGUCAGAAUCCUGGAGCCUUUAAAAAAAUAACGAAUUGGAAAAAAAAAUUAAUUCAUCAAUAACCAGGCUCCACCAGGAUUGAACUAGAUGCUUGUUCCUGGCACUUGUCAUUCCCAGCAAUCACAGCCCCUAGAGCAAAUACAAAAGGCCCAAAUUGCGUUGCAUCUUUUAUGGAAGUGCCCAACGUGGAAAUUAUAGAUUUUAACGAAGGAACAAGAAAACUGAUGAAACAAGUUCAAAAGAAAGGAGAAAAAUGGAUAAGAACUUAAAAGUAUCUUCAAAUUUCUAAAGACAUAAUCAAACAAAGAUGAUUGUGGCAGCAUAUUUACUACUAAACUUGGCCAAUUUGAUGUCAAUAGAAAUGCAUGAGAUCCUUAUUCAGCAUUCACACCUGAGAAAUGCUUUUGGUCUACUCCCCAAGGCAAAAACAAACAACAACAACAAAAACCAGAAGUUUCUGAAGGACAGCAGAAAUGGGAAGUUCUUUCCAUGAUGCAAGGCAAUCAAUGGAAAGUGACCUUCUUUUGUGAGCUACACCUAGGUAGCCCCAGUCAUGUGAAAUCACUGAUGGUAGCAACGGAUAAAGAUGCUGGAAGGGGAAACUGAGGCUUGAAAAUAUAUAUACUUUCAGGGUGGACUUUGGACAUGCUGUUAUUAAAAUGUAAGUCUCUUGACAUUGGAGUAGGAAGAGUGGGUAAGUAGGAUUGUUAGGCUUUUAAAAUAUUCCUCAUUAAGAGGAUUUUUUAAAAACCCAAGUUUUGGUGUUAAAAUUUAAGACACUCAGGAAGGCGGCUUAUUUCAGUUGGAAAGAUAUUAAAUAGUAAGCUGAUUUUCAGGGCCCAAGUAGACAGUAUUUUUUGGAAUCCUGAGGUCUGUUAUUUCUAACAUGCACAUAUAGCACUGACAAAUUCAGUCCAGAUUGAAAAUAAGUCACUGAUGUUUUUGGUAGUUAUUUAUUUCUUAUUGCAAUUCACAUUGAAAUUUUCCUAAAGGUUUUUUUAUGUCUUUAUUUGUUUUGGUAUAUUGGUUCUUAGCUGAUUAAUUAUACUUUUUCCUAGAAUUAAAAUAAGAUUAUGUUUAUCUUAGAAAGGCAAAGAAUGAGUAAAUAUUUAACCCAGAACACAUGAUUUGUUUAUUUUAAAAGUCUAUUGAUCUUUAUCAUUAUUCUUUUUAACAACAUAUCAGAAGUAGGCUAGGCUGAGAUGGAAAAAUUCAUUUAUAAUUUUAAAACAAAUGCUUCUCUAAGUAAAAAUAUUUUUUUUCUUUUUCAAAUUAGUAGUUUGUGUUUAGCUGGCAUUCUCAUAAUUGAUAGAGUGUUUUUAUGUUUAAAAUAAGGGUAUGCUUGGGAGCCUAAGAUCUGAUUGAUUAUUAAGUUAGGGACUAUAACAAUAACUCCUAAUUAUUUCUCUGUUUCAAAAUCAGAUCUGUUGUAUGCAAAGAAGAAUUUUACAUGGUAAAAGCAUAAAUGUAAUACAUCUUAAGCUUUUAUUUAAUUUUUAAAAUUAAUUAAAAAGAUAAAUGCCAUGAUAUCUAAGGAUUUCUAUUUAAUAUGGUGCUUUUGUCUUAAAUUGUUGAUGUUCACACUGUCCUUGCAGAAUUUCAUUGCAUUCAGGAAUAUUUGUGAAUGUUCUUCUAUCUAAGAAGGUGUUAUAUUUCAGCGAAUUAUAGGUGGCAGUAUACACAGCUAAAUUCCGUGUGUUACUGCAGGUCGAUAGAAGAUUUUCCAAUCGUUUAACAAUUUUAUAUUUAUGCUUAUUGUCAUUCUAUCCCCAUUUGUUAACCACCUCCUGUUUUUGGUGUUAAUGUAAGAACACCAAAUAAACUUCCUCUGAUGAGAGAAUGCUCGUGAGAAGUAUUUUGAAUCUCAAGUUUAUUCUGAAUAUUAGUUAAGAUUCAUUUUAAAAAUUUGCUAAAUAAGGAUACAUUAGAAAGUGUAUAAUACUCAUUGACCACUUGAUUUAAUAUUAAAAUGAGAAUUUAAAACUAAAUUAACUCUUAGAAUUACAUAUCAAGCCAAUGACAGAGAAUUUUUUAUUCUGUCUCUUUUAUUUUCUGUUUUAAAAGUUACAAGCAAAUAUGCUUUGACUGCUAAGUUGUGAAAAUGCAAUACUUUUCUGACUUAUUACCCUGAAGUAUGAUAUCUAUCUUUGAGAAAGUUAAGUACAAAAUUGCUGUUCUUUAUGUCUGAUAUAUACCCUGAAAGUAUUAUAUUCACAAGAAUGAUAAGAAAAUUAUAUAUGGUAUGAAGAAAGAGAAUAAAUCUUAAAUUGAUGAUCAAUAGCUAUACUGUGGCAUCUCAUAGAGAAUAAAAAUGUUCAGAAUUAGAGCAGUCUAUCAACUUCUUUCCUUCCAGAAACUUUUGCAAAAUGUAUCUAAAGGUUUUAAUGACAAUUAUUAAGGGACAUAUGGGGUGGUAGGAAUUAGAGUCAGAGAGGUAAACAGGUCAAACUCUGGUGCCCUGCAUGCUUUUCCUGUUGCUUUGUUUUACAUAUUGAACCUUGUAACAUGUGACACCCCUUUUCAUUUUAAACUGAAAUCAUUUUAUCUAAUGAAAAUUUCUCAUGUAUAGAGGAGGAAAUUGAGAAUGUGAUAGUCUCAGUACAGGGCUGACAUUACAGAAUACAACCUCUGAUAAGUAAACAUUACUUCAUCUUUAUUUGUUUUUACUUUCUUUUUUUCUUCCUUUUUGAGACAGGUCUUACUCACUGUAGGCUCAAACUCCCUAGGCUCAAGCAAUCCUCCCACCUCAGCCUCCCAAGUAGCUCGCACUAUAGGAGCACAACACCAUGCCCCCCUAAUUUUAAUAUCAUUAUUUUUAGUAGAGACGAGGUCUGUUUAUGUUACCCAGGCUGGUCUCUAAAUCCUUAGCUGAAGAGAUCUUCCCACUUCAGCCUUCCAAAGUGCUGGGAUUACAGGCAUGAGCUGCCACAUCUGGCCUAUUUGUGUUUUCUUGGCUGUGGGAUUUUUAUUUGUUUUAUUUGUAUGUUCCUUCCCUUACCAUAAUUUGUUUAUUCAUUUUAAUAUAGUCAAUUACUAUUAGUUCUUGACUCAUAACCAAUUUGUAAUUUUUCAGUAGGUAUUCUUAUUUGCAUAUGCUCACAAUCAUGCUGGCUGAUUGUUUUGCACCAUUUAACACAAGCAGAUAUAGCAAGAUUAUUUAUUCUCAUAUGAAAUAAGCAGAUUAAAAUAAAUCCAGAUUGAAACUAUUUCUUCAUAUUAUUUCCAUGUUCUUUUUCAAAGUCCUACAGAUAGAGUCUCAAAACUUGUAUGUUUCUUAAGUACCUUUCAAUGAAUUUUUAUUGCUUUUUGAUAAGAUAUAGUUCUUCAGCAUUUGAAAGUCUGAACACGCCAGCAUUUGGUGCUAAAAAUAGGAAUACAUCUAUAGAAACCCGAGGAGAUUUUGGUUAACUGUAUUGAACUAAGUUCAUUUUAAAAAGUGAAGCCAUGAAAAUCUGCUAAAAUGGGAGACCAACCGAAGAGUCUCUUUUGGGUUGGAGACAUGCAAUGGGUCUCAGGUUUCAUCUUCCCUUUUAGAAUAAUUUCCUCGCCUUGUUAGCCCCUGAGUCAGAUAGUAGUGUAUUGAGAAUGAGCAACUUUUCGCCUGAAACUAAUACUAGACCUAAAACUACCACAUUCCCGUAAUGUAUGUCUCUCUUAGUAGUAUUGUUGAAAUUUCAAUACUUUCCAUUACUCUUGCCUAGGUUAAAUUAAGAUAAUAAAAUAAACAUCUUCAAGAUAUGGAUGUUGCCAUAUAUCUGACUUAUUUUGCAUAUUUAGCUAAGACCUAGGAAAAAUCCUUUAUAUAGAUUGUGCCUACAUGGACUUAUAUGAUCAUCUAGAUAUUCGAAACUUUAAAUUUGUGAACUCACAUUUACAUAAUAUAGAGCCUUCCAGAAAUUAAUAACUUGUAAUGCUCUAUGUAAUUUCACUUUGAAAUGAAAAAUGGCAAGAAAUUUUGAUUACUUGCUUAAUUCAUUUAUUCAUUCAACAAAUAUAUAUUGAGCAUCUGUAUAUGCCAAGAUGCUUGGACACAUUAGUGAAGAUGGUUCUUGUCUUCAUUUGUGUGUGUGUAUAGGCAAACAAUAUUAAAUAAGUAUAUUAAAUGAAUAAAUCAUCUAGAAUACUAAGACAUUAAAAGUGCCAUAGAAAACAGAAAAAGCAGAGCAAGUUAAAGGAAUCUCUUAACUGAAAAUUAAGUACUUGUUUCCUAUGAAAUUUGUGGAGGUUAUAGAAUACAGAUAUUUGGUUGAAUGGGAUAUUAAGUGAAUAUGGUUGUUAAGCCAUGAGAAGAGAAAACCCAAAAACAGAAAUUUGGUUGUUCUUUUUUAAGGUUUCCUUCAGGAGUUGAUUUAAAGCUGAUUUCUCACUAGCCACCAAAUUGAAUGUUUACCCACUAGUUAAUUUGCCCCAAACAUUAAAUUAGUGGCAGAAGCACUGAAAUAACUUGUCAUUCUAAUGGCAAGAUGGCUUUUAAAGAGAUGUAGAAUAAGUUUCCAUUUUUUGAUAGUUGUCUUUUUUGCAGAAAUAUGAGGUAGUAUUUUAAAAAAAUGUUAGUGGAGAUAAAACACUGGUUCAGGAUGUUGCGGACCCAGCAGGAACCCUUGGAGGAAUUUCUUGUUUACCUUAAUAAAACCAUUAUCAUUCAUGGGGAGUAGCUAACAGUAAAAUACAAGCAAGGAAAUAAAAAGCAAAGAAAUAUCUAGUUUCUGUUAUUUGAACAACUACAUUUCACAUAGAAACUGAUGAGAGUGUCAAAAUUGACCACUCUGACUGUGUGCCUCCUUUGAUUGGCCUUUGCAAAAAUUUGAUUCUGAUUUGUAGUCAAGAAGUAAUGAAAAUGCUUAAAGAUGCUGAAAGUCAAUAUAAUGGGCACUUUUAGAAUGUACCAUGUGUUCAGGUGUGCUUCCAAUAUACAUUUUAUAAGAUUUCUCUCAGUUCAUUCAGUUAUAUUAUUAGAUGUGCUCUAGUUAUAGAAAAUGUUAUUUCCUCUGCAUGCAAAAUCUGUAGUUACAAAAUGCUCACUUCUUGUAGUUCUCAGGAAGAUUUUGUCCUGCUGAAGUUUCAUAGUUUUAUUCUACCAGUGUAUCUAUCACCCAAAGUUACUUAUUUAUUUGCUUACUGUCUUCAUGUACUUACUUAUUUUAGAAAAACAUGAAAUAAAUACUUUAUAGGUUGGAACUUUGUGCUAGGUGCUUACAAGUACUAAUCCGGAUAAAAAUAUUCUCAUAUGAAAAGUGGCAAGAUGAUAAGGCCACUGUGAGUACCCAAUUUUUAAAUCACCAUUUAGUUAUUUCUUGGUCACAUAUGUAUGUAGACUAGAAAAUAAGGGAUUCAUCACAGGAUAAAGGUGGCAAUAUCAUUAGACAUGAUAAUAUCAGAGAAUUAGAAACCUCCAAGUUCUACAUAUGGGAUGUUCAUAAUGAUAACAGUCCAUAAGAAAAAGUUAAAUGUUGUCACCCACAUGCCUUUUAAUAAGGCAGAGAUAUUUUUAAUCCAUUUCAGAAAGAUUUCUAUUAAAUGAUCCAUAUUUAUAUACAGAAAAUUACAAAUCACAUUAAUGAAAGUGAUUACAGUAGGUGAAAAGUCCUUGAUUAUUUAUUUUAAAAGUGCUUUGAUGAAUAAAAUUCUUUUGUAUGUAUUAUCUAUUUUUAGAUUUUGGUGGAUACAUUAAAUCGUUACAGAUUGUAUUCAAUCUGUUUUUUAAAAACUGCUCCAUAUAUAUUUAACAUACUGAUUUGCCGUGUCUCAUUAGCUGCAAACCUGUUUCUUAAUGAAUUUCCUAUUAUUUAUAGGCUUACAAUUCAAUGAAUUAAUAUAUUUACAAUUAUAAUAUCUUAAAAAUCUUUUCAAUCCCAUUUAAACCAUUCUUCCUUCUGUAUAAAUGAACUCCAUUUUAGGGGAAGACAUAUGGAAUUAUACAAAUUUACCUGUAAAUGUGUUUCUAACUUAAUUUCAUCACAUAAAGUUGAAACUAUAUGUCUUAGUUUCUGUAGAUUGUUAAAUUUAUAUAAUAUUUUUCUGGGAGAAAUGAGAGUAAUUAAGAGGCACAAUGUUACCUAUUUAAUUAGCCUAUUUGUAUCCUCAGAAGAAUCCUUAGUUGUGAAAAGUAUGAGGGAGCUUGCCCUUAGUUAAUUGAAUCAGAGGGUUUUUAAAGUCAUUUACAUUUCUCCCUACUCAUUUGGUUUAGUUUUGUUCACUCUAAAAUGACUCACCAAAAGAUUCCAGACCAUAAACUUUUGUCUAAGUAAUAUUUUGUUGAAACUUGUGUAAAUCUGUGGUCAAAUACAGGGCCAGUUUCAGCCCUUCUUUGUUACCAGAAAGGCACUGAAUAUAUUUUUACAAUAGAUACAUAUUCAAACAUAAAAAUAUAUCACCUAGAUCUUUAAGGGAUUUAAUGUGUUGACACCCACUGAACAUUUCAAAAUGCAAUUUGAGAGCUACUUUAUUUUUCCUGUGGAUUUUGCUAAACCACAGGUACAGAGAGCUUAGUUUAUAUAUGGAUCCUCCCUUCUCCAGAUAAUCGUAUUUUCUAGAUAAACUUUACCUAUUUUACUUUAAUAAUUCUUUGAAAGGUAAGUCCCAGCUUAGAAAUUAGUGAAUGAAAGGUAUCAUGCUUUUAAUUACUUUUAAAAAGAACCCAGUGCAUCUCCUUCGAAAACUCUAAAUUAGAUUAGAUUUUGAGGGAGAAACAAAAGCAGAGGGGAGUUGCCAGUGAAGUGUUUUGAAGCCAGAUAUUAAGUUACAAAUCCUUUUAUGGAAUAAAGGAAACUAAGAAAAACAGCAGCUGCUAUUUCAGCUCAAUAACUCCAGUACCUCCUAGUGAAAUCAUUUUAAGACUGCUGAAUAGAAAUAGUUUAAAGGUCUAUUGUAAAAGAAACAAGAAUUUUAUUCAUUAAUUAGACUCGUCAGAGACUGCUUUGAAUUUGCAAAACUGAAUAACCUUUUAUUCCAUGGUUAUAGUUAAAUCCUUAAGCUCAUUUGAUUUCCUAUGUCCCAUUUGAUUUCACUUUAAGAUUUCACCUUCACAAAUGCAUUAUAGUCCAAUCCCUUAAUGUUUCCAUUGCCCUCUCACUUUAGUAAAAAGGCAACAGACUAACUCUUCAUAAAAUUAACAUGGAUGGUGGAAAUAAAAAUUGCAGAAAUGAAGUCUCCUGAUAAUGCACAAGUAAUAGAAUGGGGAACAUUUUUGUUUAUGUGUUUUCUCAACUUCGGAUAGCUAAUGGAGACUUUUCUUUUUUAAAAAAAUUUUAAUAGUGACAUUUUUAUGCUGUAAAAUAUUAAACUUGCACAGAGAUUCUUUCAGUUUUGUUACUUUUCAGUUGAGAUUUAUUCAAAUGCAGAAUUCAUGCCAGUAUUUUGGAUUUUGCUGUCUAGUAGGUAUGAUACAUUAAUUUAUACUUCAUUAAUUUAGAAUUUCUGAAAAUUUGAGUCCAGAAUGAAUGACAGUGAAAAACAGGGUAUGCUAAACAAAUAGUGGAAAAAGUAUAUAUACUCAGUAUGUAUAUACUAAUGAAAGUAUACAUUUUUAGAAAUCAGCAGGUUUCAAAAUUUUAAGAAUAAUUGAAGAUGUUCAAAGCAUUAUGUUUCAAUAACUUUAUGUCAUGGUUACAACUUACUAAUUAUGUCAUUUAUAAUUAUCUUCCAAGGAAAUAUUUGGUUGUUCUAGAGCUUAACAUAUUUCACAUUAUUAUGGUUUCUUAAAAAUACUUUAAAAAAUGUUUUCAAUGUAAUAAAUUAGAAUUUUACAGUACAAUGAACAAACAGAGAUCUAUUGCUCCAAUCUCCCUAUCCAAGAUACCCAAUCACCAGGAGCAAGAACUGUAAACCUUUAAGCGGUUUCUACCAGUAUUUGUGUCUAAAUCGUAUUCUGAUAUUUCUGUUUCUUGAUUUUCCACUUUAGACUAUCUGUUUCUAUUAAUGUCCCACAGUGAAAUUUCUUUUAACUAUCAGCUCAUACAUAUAAAAACAUGCUUCAUCUCUCUCCAUUAUCCUAAAAGAGUUUUAUUAUAAUUUUUGGUUAAAAUAUUAUUCAAUGUUUCUAUUAUUAUGAGUAUAUAAAUUUGCUUUUAUCUGAGCUUAGUAUUAUACUUUGAAUACACAUGGUUUCUUGAGCAACUGUUUUUAUUGUAGUUUAUAACUUGUUUUAUCAUGUGUUUAAUUUGCACAUACUUAUCACUCCAACAUGCCAGAAACGCUAUAAAUCCUGUCUAUACAAACACAUCAUGUAAUCUCCUGGGUUCUUCUCCCUCCCCCUUUUUUUAAGCCAGCUUCUGCAACAGCUUACCUCUAAGGCAAGCUACAAAGCUGCUAACCCCCAGACUUCCUUUCACCAGCAUCCCAGACAUUCCUUUUGCUUAUCCUCUUUCUGUUAUUUUUUCAUUUUAGGCAAACAUUUCCUCCAGAAAUUUAUGAGAAAGGAAUUAUGGGUAUUACAUUUUUGAGAUUCUACAAUUAUGAAAAACAUUAUUGAACAUGGCAUUUGAAGAUGGAAUUCUGGCAUAGAAAUUAGUAUUUUUCCAAAUGUUGAAGUUAUAUUUUCUAGUUUCUAGUGUUUCUUUCGAAAAAUCUUAUGAUGUUCUGAUUCUAAAUCUAAAUUUGUGUAAUGUGAACUAUUGUGCUUGUUAAUCUCUUCAGAAGAUUUUGUGAUUAUCUCUUUAUCUUUGGUAUUUCAAAAUUGUGUGCCACUCCCCAUAAAAACACAAAACAAACAAAACAAUACAUUACGCGGGGUUGAGUACUCAGCAGGCCUUUUUACAUCCUGAAAGACAAAUAUGUUUCAGUCUUUGAAAAUAUUUUGAUAUUAUUUCUUUGAUGACUUUAGAGUUUCUCUUUACCUUGUUGUAUUUCUUUCUUAAAAUUUAAAUUAGUGCUCUAAAUGUAUUACCUUUUAUUGUCUGUUUUUCCAUAUCUUUGUGAUUUUUCUGCUUUCUAAAAUGUAUUCUUAACUGGACCAUCCCACCCUUCUGUGGAUAUUUUUAUGUCUGUUAUUAUAUGCAGUAAUUUUUAAGAGUUAUUUCUUUUAUUCUGAGUUUCAUUUUUUAAUAAUCUUAGUGUGCUCUUAUGGAUACAUUAUCUUCUAUUAUGUCUCUGGAAAAAUUAAUAUAUUUUUGAAUUAUCCUUCUAUGUAUUUUUCUUUUUUAUCCAACAUCUUAUUUUCUAUUUAUUGAUUUUGUUCACUAUUUUUUAUUUAGAGCAUUGGUUUAUAUGUGGUUCUCAUUGACCAUGCAUUCAGUUUUCAAUGUUAGGCAAAAUGUUGAUUUACUGCUCAGAAUAAAAGUUGAUUGGAUGCUUAGUGUGCAUGAGUCAGCUUGCAAAUAGCUAGUAUACCUCACAGUAAGGAGAGUCACUUAAUUGAGUAUUUUUAAGUAUAUAUGUUUAGGGUCCAUUUAUCCUGGUCUAAUGAUCAUAGAGCAGAAUUUUCUAAUCUCCUGCAGGUGAGCAUAUGAAAUUUGCUGGGGAGUUCCACUUUUGAUGAUGUAGACUUUCAUAUUAAGCCUAUUGUUUUUAUUUGGUUCCCUUAUUUCUCUCUACUCCUGUCAGCUGUGUCUAGUGACCCAAAGAUAAAACUCUCUUUUGCCUAACAUCUGCAUAAAGUUAAUGUGUGUUGAGGAGAGAAGGGUACUCCAAGGAUUGGUAGGAAAGUUAAAAUUUUUUUUAGAGAAGUCAUCUUUCCUGUCUUCAACAAACCUAUUUUCAGUCCUAUCCCACAAACGUUAGUAGUUAUUUACAAGUCACUGGUAUUUCUCAUUUCUGAGUGAUUCAGUGCUUUGCAAGGAGGGCCUUGGCUUGCUUCCUUUGUUUUUUUCCCUUGAGGGAACUUUGGCAUUGGCUUCCUUUAUUGUAUAAGUUACCAUGUAUCCAUCUACUUUUCUUUUACCAAUUUUUUUGACACCUCUCAUCUACUAUAGUUUCUUCUCCUUUUCUUGUGUUUGUGUAUGUUUCGCAUUCAUUCGCUUGUCACAUGAAUGCAAUUGAGAAAAAAAUCCAUGCUCAACCAGAACUUAAUGCAACUUCAAUUUUGUAAAAUUAUUCUGUAAUUCAAUAAUUUUUAUUUUAUUUAUUUAUUUAUUUAUUUAUUUAUUUAUUUAUUUAUUUAUUUAUUUUUGAGACCUAGUUUCACUCUUGUUACCCAGGCUGGAGUGCAAUGGCGCGAUCUCGGCUCACCACAACCUCUGCCUCCUGGGUUCAGGCAAUUCUCCUGCCUCAGCCUCCCGAGUAGCUGGGAUUACAGGCAUGUGCCACCAUACCCAGCUAAUUUUUUGUAUUUUUAGUAGAGACGGGGUUUCACCAUGUUGACCAGGAUGGUCUCGAUCUCUCGACCUCGUGAUCCACCCGUCUCCGCCUCCCAAAGUGCUGGGAUUACAGGCUUGUGCCACCGCGCCCGGCCAAUUCAAUAAUUUUUAAAUUUUAUUUUAGUGACUUCACAUUAAUAACACUUUGCAUUAGCUGAGAUAGCAAAAUGUUCUUGUGAGGAAAUGGUUACUUGCUAGCUAUGGAAUUCAAAUCUGGUCCGCACACCACUAGGAGAAAAUUUAUUUGAAAAUGAAUAUAUCUAUAUACUGAUUGAAUUCUUCAGUCAAUAAAGAAAUAUUCCUACAACAUGCCAGAGUGUUUAAUUGAUUUUCUGUAGUACUCAAUUCCAAAUACAAAAAACAAUGUUAAUGAAUGAGACAGCCUAUCAGUAGUAUUACAAUCUUUGUUUAGCUUAUUCCUAUAAUAAUUGCUACUGUUACUGUCCAUGAGUUUUAGACAUCACUAUUGGUGAUUGCUAAUAAAAUAUUAAUAAAAUUGACCAAUAUCAUAAAAUGUCUUACCCAAAUAUAUAAGAUUCAGUGAGCAUAUUGAUAACUACUAUUAAAUUGCUGUAACUGAUGAAGUGAUAAAAUGAAUAAACUAUUGAAAUGGGGGAAAUUCAAGGAGAAAAUGAAUUCAAAAAUUAUAUGGUGAUAGUAUUUUUGGCUAUUUUCUAUUACAAAGGAAAGAUGAAACAUCUAGUUUAAUGUUGUUUUUGAAUUAGUGGCUAGAUACUGGCAUUGAUGAUUAAGAUAUGAAAUACAGGAAAAAGAGAAAUUUGGGUGAGAAAUGUUGCAUUUGGUUUCAGACAGGUUAAGCUUGAGGUUCUUUUAAAAUAUUAAACAGCAGCCUAUAAUACAGUACUGCAGCUCAUCAGAGAUGUCUGGGUCAAAUACGUAGAACUGAUCGGAUUAGCUUAGCUACAACAGAACAGAAAUAUUCCCUUAUCACAAGUGUUUAAGCAAAAUAAAAAUUUAUUUCACUCUAGUAGAAGAAGACUGUGGAGGGAACUUAGGCUAACUUGAUCUCAACAAAGUUAUCCAGGCUUUUUUCAGAUGUCCACUCUGCCAUCCCAAGAUGAGAUCCAAAUUUUUGCCCUCCUCCUAUGAGAUCCAAAAUUUUGCAUGUAUAUACAUCACUAUGAUGUCCCCAAUAGCUAAAGGGAAUAAAGGAAGAAGACAUCACCCUUCUCUUUUAAUGACACUUAGUCAACCUCCAACACCAUUCUGUUUACAUCUCUUUGACCAGAAUUUAGUUGUAUCUCAAGAGACUACAAAGAAGUCCUGGGAAUAGAAUCUUUUAAUCUGUAUGGUAACUUGACAGGCUAAAAACCAGCUUUCUGUAUUUUUAUAAAAAUAAGAGAAUGGAGGAAGCAGUAUGUACCUGACAGUUAUGAAUUAAGUUACUGGCACAUAGAUUGCAUUUGAAAUGUAGCUAUAUAUGAACUGGAGUAAGUAUGUUAAAAAUC